rnacentral:rRNA from 1 species
CACGUAGGGCGCAAGCGUUGUCCGGAAUUAUUGGGCGUAAAGAGCUCGUAGGCGGUCUGUUGCGUCUGCUGUGAAAACUCGGGGCUUAACCCCGAGCCUGCAGUGGAUACGGGCAGACUAGAGGUAGGUAGGGGAGAAUGAAAUUCCCGGUGUAGCGGUGAAAUGCGCGGAUAUCGGGAGGAACACCGGUGGCGAAGGCGGUUCUCUGGGCCUUACCUGACGCUGAGGAGCGAAAGCGUGGGGAGCGAACAGG